rnacentral:lncRNA from 1 species
CUUUUUUAAUAAGGGAGAAUUUAGCUCUUGUUACCCACAAGAGUUCUCAAAGUAGAAAAUAAUAAACCAUGUUCUUGAAGCCAGUACUGAAUUAUCAAAGCUGAAGGAAGGGAAGCUAAAGAAAGAUUAGGCAACUUGGGGUACAAAUGCGUUCAAAAUCCUCUCCGUCAGUAUGCCAAGUCUCUGGAUACCAGUGACUUAUUUGCCCUGGGGUGAGAGAAAACUCCAUUUUCCAUCAAGCUGGAGAAGCAGCCUUUGUUUUUCAGCCAUGGAUAAGGCCACUUAUUAGGAGGACAACAAGAAGGAGCCCAUGUUUGGAUUUUUAGGCCCUACUGGAUUCCAAACAGUCACCAUGGGAAGAGUGGGGUGAUUCCAGGGCUGGAAGAGACAAGAAGAAGGGGAAAUCUCAGGAGGAUGCUUACCAGGAAUCAGGAAACUGGAAAAACAAUGGCCUGCUGGGACAGAUCUCCAAGCCCUAGAGGACCACAGGUGAAUGUCACCUGUAAGAUCAUGGGCUGGAGAUAAGGUGAAAAGGACAUGCAGUAAUGAGAACAUACAUAAUCAACUACAAACUGAUUCUUACCAUAAAGACCCACAUAAAACUCAAUUACUUAUGGAUGCCAGAAUCAAUGAAGAGCCCCAAAGUUUGGACAUUUGGUACCUGAAGGAGGAUCGUGAGGAGUUCAGGAGGAAGCCAUAGUUUCAGAAGCAGGGAGGACCACUACCAGAUAAAAAUCCUGCAAUUAUAUUUAGUCUCACUGUGGAGCCCACCUGUUUUGGAAAAGGGACAAAAUUCUGGCCUCAACGGUAAUUUUCUCACACUCUUGGGAACAUUCCAUUGGAAGGAAGAACCAACAACUGCCAACUCUGUAUUCUGGAAGAGUCUCAGAGGUGGUCCCUAACCAAAGAAUGAUCACCCUAAAGGUCUGCAUGUGUACACACAAACGGUGGACCAGUAAGACAACAUGACACGUAAGGCAGGAGAAUCACUUGAACCUGGAAGGCGGAGAUUGCAGUGAACUGAGAUCACACCAAUGCACUCUAGCCUGGGCAACAGAGUGAGACUCUGUCUCAAAAAAGAAAAAAAACAAAGACAAUACGACAUACCUAGAUUCUAAUUCAACACAGAAAAUGCAAAAGCCCAGCUGUGCUGCUGUGUUAACCUGGAGGCAUUAUGGAACAGGUAAGUAAGCCAUUGGCAUCCAUCCACUGGACAAGGCUUUGCUUUGAUCAACACCAUCAAUUGCAGCUGAUAAUAGGAACUAUGGGCUAAUGAGGGAAAUAAGACUUGGCUCUGUUGACAAGAGCCAGGGAAACUUCACACCUCUUCCUCUUGGAACUUGCAGGAUGAGGUUAGGCCAGUGGGGCCAAGGAAUGCUCCCACCUUGGAGAGCUCCCGCCCUGACAGUU